CUGAAACCGUGUACGUACAAGCAGUGGGAGCCUCUUUAUGGGGUGACUGCGUACCUUUUGUAUAAUGGGUCAGCGACUUAUAUUCUGUAGCAAGGUUAACCGAAUAGGGGAGCCGAAGGGAAACCGAGUCUUAACUGGGCGUUAAGUUGCAGGGUAUAGACCCGAAACCCGGUGAUCUAGCCAUGGGCAGGUUGAAGGUUGGGUAACACUAACUGGAGGACCGAACCGACUAAUGUUGAAAAAUUAGCGGAUGACUUGUGGCUGGGGGUGAAAGGCCAAUCAAACCGGGAGAUAGCUGGUUCUCCCCGAAAGCUAUUUAGGUAGCGCCUCGUGAAUUCAUCUCCGGGGGUAGAGCACUGUUUCGGCAAGGGGGUCAUCCCGACUUACCAACCCGAUGCAAACUGCGAAUACCGGAGAAUGUUAUCACGGGAGACACACGGCGGGUGCUAACGUCCGUCGUGAAGAG
rnacentral:rRNA from 1 species